AGUGAACGCUGGCGGUAGGCCUAACACAUGCAAGUCGAACGGCAGCACAGUAAGAGCUUGCUCUUACGGGUGGCGAGUGGCGGACGGGUGAGGAAUACAUCGGAAUCUACUUUUUCGUGGGGGAUAACGGAGGGAAACCUACGCUAAUAUCGCAUACGACCUACGGGUGAAAGCAGGGGAUCUUCGGACCUUGCGCGAUUGAAUGAGCCGAUGUCGGAUUAGCUAGUUGGCGGGCUAAAGGCCCACCAAGGCGACGAUCCGUAGCUGAUCUGAGAGAAUGGUCAGCCACACUUGAACUUGGACACGGUCCAGACUCCUACGAGACGCAGCAGUGGGGAAUAGGCGACAAUGGUCGCAAGCCUGAUCCAGCGAUACCGCGUGAGUUAAGAAGGCCUUCGGGUUGUGAAGCCCUUUUUUUGGUAAAGAAAAGCAGCAGGUUAAUACCCCGCUGUUCUGACGGUACCCGGAAAAUAAGCACCGGCUAACUUCGUG
rnacentral:rRNA from 1 species